rnacentral:rRNA from 1 species
GACGAACGCUGGCGGCGUGCUUAACACAUGCAAGUCGAGCGGAAAGGCCCUUUCGGGGGUACUCGAGCGGCGAACGGGUGAGUAACACGUGAGUAAUCUGCCCUUGGCUUUGGGAUAACCACCGGAAACGGUGGCUAAUACCGGAUAUGACGCGCUCCGGCAUCGGGGUGUGUGGAAAGUUUUUUCGGCCAGGGAUGUGCUCGCGGCCUAUCAGCUUGUUGGUGGGGUAAUGGCCUACCAAGGCUUCGACGGGUAGCCGGCCUGAGAGGGUGACCGGCCACACUGGGACUGAGAAACGGCCCAGACUCCUACGGGAGGCAGCAGUGGGGAAUAUUGGACAAUGGGCGGAAGCCUGAUCCAGCAACGCCGCGUGAGGGAUGACGGCCUUCGGGUUGUAAACCUCUUUCAGUACCGACGAAGCGCCGAUGAUGGUGGUGACGGUAGGUACAGAAGAAGCACCGGCCAACUACGUGCCAGCAGCCGCAGUAA